CCCUUAGACGUUCUGGGCGGCCCGCGCACUACAAUGGCGUGUGCAGCGAGUGCCGAAGUAGAGUUUUCCGAGGUAUUCUUGCAAUGCUCGUUUUGAUGGGGAUAGACCCUUGCAACUGUUGGUUUUGAACGAGGAAUUCCUUGUAAGCAUGGUUUAUCAUCCGACGCUGAAUGCGUCCCCGCCCUUUGUACACACCGCCCGUCGCUCCUACCGAUGAGUCGUCCGGUGAAGUUCGUAGACCUCGUGAUCGCGGAUCACUGGGGGAAGCAAAAUGAACCUCGCGGUUUAGAGGAAGGAGAAGUCGUAACA
rnacentral:rRNA from 1 species